AUGGAACUGUCUACACAGGGUUUCAUACUUCGCACUUCAACAACACAACCGUUCAAUGCUAAGGCUUCUCACCAAAUGGAACCACCUGCACAGGGUUCCAUACUUCGCACUUUAACAACACAAACAUUCAAUGCUAAGGCUUCCCACCAAAUGGAACUGUCUGCGCAGGGUUCCAUACUUCGCACUUUAACAACACAACCUUGCAAUACUAAGGCUUCCCACCAAAUGGAACUGUCUGCGCAGGGUUCCAUACUUUGCACUUUAACAACACAACUAUGCAAUACUAAGGCUUCCCACCAAAUGGAACUGUCUGUGCAGGGUUCCAUACGUUGCACUUUAACAACACAACCGUUCAUUUCUAAGGCUUCCCACCAAAUGGAACCGUCUGCUCAGGGUUCCAUACUUCGCACUUUAACAACACAACCAUUCAAUGCUAAGGCUUCCCGCCAAAUGGAACUGUCUGCACAGGGUUCCAUACUUCGCAUUUUAACAACACAACCGUUCAAUGCUAAGGCUUCCCACCAAAUGGAACCGUCUGCGCAGGGUUCCAUACUUCGCAUUUUAACAACACAACCGUUCAAUGCUAAGGCUUCCCACCAAAUGGAACUGUCUGCACAGGGUUCCAUACUUUGCAUUUUAACAACACAACCGUUCAAUGCUAAGGCUUCCCACCAAAUGGAACUGUCUGCGCAGGGUUCCAUACUUUGCACUUUAACAACACAACUAUGCAAUACUAAGGCUUCCCACCAAAUGGAACUGUCUGUGCAGGGUUCCAUACGUUGCACUUUAACAACACAACCGUUCAUUUCUAAGGCUUCCCACCAAAUGGAACCGUCUGCUCAGGGUUCCAUACUUCGCACUUUAACAACACAACCAUUCAAUGCUAAGGCUUCCCGCCAAAUGGAACUGUCUGCACAGGGUUCCAUACUUCGCAUUUUAACAACACAACCGUUCAAUGCUAAGGCUUCCCACCAAAUGGAACCGUCUGCGCAGGGUUCCAUACUUAGCACUUUAACAACACAACCGUUCAAUGCUAAGGAUUCCUGCCAAAUGGAACCUUCUGCACAGGGUUCCAUACUACGCACUUUAACAACACAAUCGUUCAAUGCUAAAGCUUCCCGCCAAAUGGAACUAUAG
rnacentral:lncRNA from 1 species